UACGGAGGGUGCGAGCGUUAAUCGGAAUUACUGGGCGUAAAGCGCGCGUAGGCGGCGUGAUAAGCCGGUUGUGAAAGCCCCGGGCUCAACCUGGGAAUAGCAUCCGGAACUGUUUAGCUAGAGUGCAGAAGAGGAAGGUAGAAUUCCCGGUGUAGCGGUGAAAUGCGUAGAGAUCGGGAGGAAUACCAGUGGCGAAGGCGGCCUUCUGGACUGAUACUGACACUGAGGUGCGAAAGCGUGGGUAGCAAACAGG
rnacentral:misc_RNA from 1 species